rnacentral:misc_RNA from 1 species
GUUUCCAUACAGCUCAUAUGGUUGCUUGCAGGGAUUUUGGUAUAUGAAGCCAUUGCUAGGCUCAUUGAUGAUACAGGUGAUGUAAACGGCUUUGUAAUGUUUAUAGUUGCUGCAUUUGGUCUGGUGGUGAAUGUCAUCAUGGCUCUUUUGUUGGGUCAUGAUCAUGGCCAUGGCCAUGAUGAUCACAAUCAUGAGACCAGGCACAGCCUUGGGAAGAAAAUUACCACUCAUUAUCACCACCACCACCACCAUCAUGAGAAGCACUUGAAAGAUGAGCACCAUCCUUUAUCCAGCAAUGGCACAGCAUUUUCUUCAGACACAGGAUGGUGC